GAUGAACGCUAGCGGGAGGCUUAACACAUGCAAGUUGAGGGGCAGCAUAGGGUAGCAAUACCCUGAUGGCGACCGGCAGACGGGUGAGUAACGCGUAUGUAACCUACCCUGUACAGGGGGAUAACCCGGAGAAAUUCGGACUAAUAUCCCAUAGUAAUAUCCGGAGGCAUCUUUGGAUAUUUAAAGUUCCGGCGGUACGGGAUGGGCAUGCGUAACAUUAACUGGUUGGUAAGGUAACGGCCUACCAAGGCUAUGAUGUUUAGGGGUCCUGAGAGGGUGAUCCCCCACACUGGUACUGAGACACGGACCAGACUCCUACGGGAGCAGCAGUGAGGAAUAUUGGUCAAUGGGCGCAAGCCUGAACCAGCCAUCCCGCGUGCAGGAAGACGGCCCUAUGGGUUGUAAACUGCUUUUCCAGGGAGAGAAACCUGCGCACGUGUUGCGCAAUUGACGGUACCCUGGGAAUAAGCAUCGGCUAACUCCGUGCCAGCCAGCCCGCGGUAAACUCGUCUCUAC
rnacentral:rRNA from 1 species